UAUUUGAAAGAGUCCAAGUGUGUUGAAACUUCUGAAGAACUCUAAUGUCAAGAAAACCUCUGCAUGUUAAACCAUGCUCAACUAUAAAGAGUUUUAAAUGUCUUUUCUGUUGGGCAAGAUCACUUGAAUGAAAGAAAACUGGAGAUGAGUCCUGUCUAAUGUAGGAUUCAAGAACCAAAAAACUCCCACCACCUUACCAAAAAACAUCCCGGAGCAAUCAGCUUCGGUGGGAAAUGGAAGGAAACAAUAGAGCAAGGCAUUGAAAAAGGAUCUUCUAGGUCUGAACUGACUACUCUUGUGGCUGGACCAGUGCUGUUUUGAUGCAGUUCUCUGUUGGGAGGCAAAUGAAUUACUCAGUGUUUGAGACAGGAGCACAAAGCAUCCCUGCAGUUGAGGACUAUGCCAUGACAAAUACAGCCAUGGAGGUCAAAUGCACUGUUUCUUUGGUGUGGGUGGAAUGCCAUUGGGGAAGUGGUAAUGUAUAAUUUCUUGAGAUUUUGAAAGAUCAUGGAAAAUGAAAGCCUGAUCCUUUAGAAAUUCAUCAAUACUACUGGACUUCUUUAGCAAUCCUUUGAACUAAUGAUAGCUGACGAAGGGGAGGUGUCAUCCUCUUUGUCACUUAUCUGCCUGGUGCAUGCGUGGCCUGUAAUCCUGAUGUCCCAUAUCCCAUGUGAGCUUGCCUGCUGCAAAGAAAUUCUUGCUUUUCUUGUAAAUUCUUUCAAACCCAUCACAGAUUUUGCAGCUUUCCCACUCUGCUGAGUAGAAAAUUCAUGUUUUGAUGGCAGAUUCCUUGGAGCAUGUAGGUGAUUUGGUGAUUUUGUAUCUUUUGCCCAAAGAAAAUUUUACCCCUUCCUUUGUUUCUGAUUUUGCCCAUCUCCUUCUCUCUGUGAUUUCUUCUACUGUUUAUAUUUCUUGUAUUAACCCCACCCAAGUGGUUUGUUCUUCCCAUUGUUCCCUGAAACCCUGGCAUUUCAUUUUCCUGAUUGGACGCUGUCAGCAGGGGGAGCAUCAACAGCACAGGAGACUUCCACCAGGGCUACUGGGUCUUCAUGGAGGAAUGGAGUCAGACUUGAAGACUUAAAGACAGAAGUUUGGCCAUCAACAAGUACAUCAAAGACAGUUCCAUAACCAGAAAUGUUGACUCAUAUGUAAAAGAUAGUGACCUCUUCAUAUUUACAAGUAAAAAAAAGUGCCAGCCUGAUACACGUCAGAGUUGCCAUAUAAAAAAAAAGGAAAACAUGGGAAAAAUAAGAUCGUACUUGAGGUCUUUCUCCAAUUAUUUGGAAUUAUUUAUUUUAGAUAUUUACUUUUAUGUUGCG